rnacentral:misc_RNA from 1 species
GAUGAAGAACGUAGCGAAAUGCGAUAAGUAAUGUGAAUUGCAGAAUUCAGUGAAUCAUCGAAUCUUUGAACGCACAUUGCGCCCGCCAGUAUUCUGGCGGGCAUGCCUGUUCGAGCGUCAUUACAACCCUCAGGCCCCCGGGCCUGGCGUUGGGGAUCGGCGGAGCCCCCCGUGGGCACACGCCGUCCCCCAAAUGCAGUGGCGGUCCCGCCGCAGCUCCCAUCGCGUAGUAGCUAACACCUCGCGACUGGAGAGCGGCGCGGCCACGCCGUAAAACACCCAACUCUUCUGAAGUUGACCUCGAAUCAGGUAGGAAUACCCGCUGAACUUAAGCAUAUCAAUAAGCGGAGGA